CACUACAGGAGAAUCAAUCACGCCUCCGAGAGCAUACGUCUGGCAUGGAGAGACAGCGGGUCAAUGGCUUCGGGCCAAUAAUGUUCUUAACACAACUAUACAACAUUUGCAUGCUGAAAAGGUACGGAUAUACAUACUGCUCUCUAUCUCCCAUGGAAAAAUUUUACAAAAUUUGCUUUUUUUAAUAAAAUAUAGAUAAAAUGUUUGUUAUAAAGUAAAAGUUUAAAUUGAUGAAUAAGAAUUUUAUUUUCAGCUGUUGGCGGUGCCGUCGUCGUUCUCCACCCGGUACUAAUUUCAUAGGCUUCUUAUGACUUGGGAAUUGUGAAUUUUUAGAAGAAAGUCUCAACUAGUAAUUAAUUUUUAUUUCAUUUAUUUGAUCACAUGGCUUCUUUCGCAAUUUCAUCUGAAUUAUUUAGAAUGGGUCACUUGAUUUACUGUUAAAUUUGGAAUGUCAUUUUAAUGAUUCGUUCAGACUUUUAUGGACAGAUUUUGCAUCAUUGAAUGUCUUUUAGUCUAGUUUAAUUUUUUUUUUAUUUGGAGAGUUUCCCUUGUUUUCUAAAAUUGUAUAAUUCCUUUCAUACUUUUUAUGAUAAAAUUUCAUUAAAAGCCUUCAUAUUUUAUAAUUCCAUGAAAUCGUGCGUACUUUUUUCCUAUCUUUCUUCGCCAAUUAUUUGUUUUCAUCAUUGCUGUUCUGUUAUUUUAGUUUGUGCUCUGUUUGUUCAUUUGGUUUGGUUUGCUUCACACCUACCUUUCUUUGGAAACUUAGAAGGCAAAGGAAGUACUUAGAAAAUGCUCUUCCCUAUGAACACAUAAUUAAGAACAGCUGAAAAUCAUUCAUCGGAUAAAAAAAUUAAAAAUAAACAAAAUCUAAUCAGAGCAUUAUGCCUGGAACAAAUCCUUAAGCCAUCAAAGCAAAACUCUUCGCUAUGAAAAACUAUAUUGUGGAAAUAUUGUUUGAAAACGUUGGAUACCAAGAAAGGGACUAAUCUGGUCUAGUUUUAUGAGAAGUGCAGAAGAACAGUAUUUUCUCUGUUGUUCCUAUUAAAAUUCUUUACUCUGUGAUUGUAGAAUGUCUGGAUACUGAUGAAGAUUCAGGUAACUCUUCUUCUGUGCAUCAUUUGAAAUAAGGUCUUUUGUUUUUUUUGGGAAUAUCUCCUACUGGGUUAUAGCUCAUACAAAGAGAUAUUCUCAAAUGAAGCCGGAUACUGGUAGAAACAAGGGAGGAAGUUGGCACUGAUAAAAUGGAUAAUGAAGCAACUCCAAACUGGACUUCAUUUUCAAUAUCUUGAAAUUCUAAGACUAUAUUACUGCUUGUAAAAAUCUUUUAAGUCUAUUCCCAUGAUCAUCUGUAACUUUUGGGAAUCUAACAGAACUGGUGGUUUUCCAUUGCAAAGAAUUGUAACAUCCAUCCACUACAGCAGAAAGUCUAGUGCGGCUCGUAUCAAUGAAUGUAGCUGGAUGCAGGGCAAUGACAGAGGUGGUAAUAGGUGACGGAGAAGAAG
rnacentral:lncRNA from 1 species